AGCUGACAUGCUUACGAAAGAAGAUAGAAAAGAAGCACAUACUUUGAGAAUUCAGAGUUUAAUAAAUGCUUUGAAGGAAAUGAGGGCAUGAGAAAGUGGUAGGUAGUUUGGCCCAGGAGGAUGGGGCUGGCCCUUCUGGGAAGGUGACAGAUAAGGAAACGGAGGCUCAAAAAGAUUCAGGAUGUGUGUGGAGGGCCAAGUGGGCUGGCUCCAGAGUGGGCACCCCUGAAUAUUUCUCUGCUGCCCCUGGAAGGGCCAGGUUCUCCAGAUGAAGGAUAGCAGCCCUGCCUUCCCAUGCAAGCUGAACCUCAGGAGAAGAGGUGGACCACGUAGUGAUUCGACAACUCAAUACAUGACUCUUGCUCUUCAUGCUGAGUGUUGUCGGCGUCUGUCACUGGAGAGUGUUACUGACUGCAUUCCCUGUGCUGUGCUUUCCACCCCCCUGGCUUGUUUUGUCACUAGAAGCUUGUACCUCUUAAUCCCUGUCACCUAUUUCACACACACCCCCAGCCACCUCCCCUCUGGCAACCGCCAGUGUGUGCUCUGUAUUUAAGCGUCUGUUUGUUUUUAUGUCCGUUCAUUUGUUUUGUUUUUUAAAAUCCUGCAUGUCAGUGAACUCAUACGGUAUUUGACUUUCUCUGACUUAUUCGCUUAUUCCCUCUAGGUCCGUCCACGUUACAAACGGCAAGAUCUCAUUCCUUUUUUAUGGCCGAGUAAUAUUCCACAUCUCUAUCCACUCAUCUAUGGCUGGACACUUGGGCUGCCUCCAUUUCUUGGCUAUCGUAAAUAACACUGCUAUGAGCAUAGGGGAACCUCCCUGAGGUUUUCCAGAGGAGCUGCACCAGCCUGCAUUCGCGCCCACAGUGCAUUCCCUUGUCUCCACAUCCUCACCAACGCGUGUUAUUUCUAGCAGUUGGUUGGUUCCUUUUUGUUGCUGAGUACUAUUCCAUGGUGUGGAUAUGCCACGGCUCAUUUAUUUACUCCUCCACUGAAGGACAUUUGGUUAGUUUCCAGCUUGGGGCUCUUACAAAUGAAGCUGCUAUGAACAUUCAUGUACAGUUUCCUGCGUGAAAAGAAGUCUUCCUUUUUCUGGGACCAAUGCCCAAGAACGCAAUUGCUGGGACCGUUUUUACUUCUGAGAAGGAAGUGCCGAAGUAUUUUCCAGAGUGGCUGUAGCGUUUCACGUUCCUGCCAGCAACGUACAGGCGAUCGACUUUCCUGGUAACUGGAAUUUUAUUUAAAAACAAAACACUACAGUUCUCAUGGGGGCUCAACUUUGCUGCAGUCUCGAUCUCUCUGAGCAACCCCAGGACGAGGACCUCCCCCACCCCCCAUCCUUGGCAGCCUGUCGGCUGGCCAUCCACCUGGCGAUAAGCCCGCAGAGAGCAGGGCCGGGCCCUGCUCAGAUCUG